ACGAACGCUGGCGGCGUGCCUAAUACAUGCAAGUUGAGCGCUGAAGGUUGGUACUUGUACCGACUGGAUGAGCAGCGAACGGGUGAGUAACGCGUGGGGAAUCUGCCUUUGAGCGGGGGACAACAUUUGGAAACGAAUGCUAAUACCGCAUAAAAACUUUAAACACAAGUUUUCAGUUUGAAAGCUGCAAUUGCAUCACUCAAAGAUGCUCCCACGUUGUAUUAGCUAGUUGGUGGGGUAAAGGCUCAACACGGCGAUGAUACGUAGCCGACCUGGGAGGGGGAUCAGCCCAACUGGAACUGGGCCACGGUCCAGACUCCUACGGGAGGACGCAGUGGGGAAUAUGGGACAUGGGGCGGAAGCAUAAUACAGAGAUACCGCGUGGGUGAAGAAGGCCUGCGGGUUGUAAAGCCCUGUUGGUGGGAAAGAAAAGCAGCAGGUUAAUACCCCGCUGUUCUGACGGUACCCAAAGAAUAAGCACCGGCUAACUUCGUG
rnacentral:rRNA from 1 species